rnacentral:lncRNA from 1 species
UUGAGUGACUAUGAUAGUACCUGUAGUGGGUGUUUGGUAUUGAGUGACUAUGUAUUGAGUGACUAAGAUAGUACCUGUAGUGGGUAUUGAGUGACUAAGACAGUACCUGUAGUGGGUAUUGAGUGACUAAGACAGUACCUGUAGUGGGUAUUGAGUGACUAAGACAGUACCUGUAGUGGGUAUUGAGUGACUAUGAUAGUACCUGUAGUGGGUGUUUGGUAUUGAGUGACUAAGACAGUACCUGUAGUGGGUAUUGAGUGAUUAAGACAGUACCUGUAGUGGGUAUUGAGUGAUUAAGACAGUACCUGUAGUGGGUGUUUGGUAUUGAGUGACUAAGAUAGUACCUGUAGUGGGUAUUGAGUGACUAAGACAGUACCUGUAGUGGGUAUUGAGUGACUAAGACAGUACCUGUAGUGGGUAUUGAGUGACUAAGACAGUACCUGUAGUGGGUAUUGAGUGACUAUGAUAGUACCUGUAGUGGGUGUUUGGUAUUGAGUGACUAAGACAGUACCUGUAGUGGGUAUUGAGUGACUACGAUAGUACCUGUAGUGGGUAUUGAGUGAUUAAGACAGUACCUGUAGUGGGUAUUGAGUGAUUAAGACAGUACCUGUAGUGGGUGUUUGGUAUUGAGUGACUAAGAUAGUACCUGUAGUGGGUAUUGAGUGACUAAGAUAGUACCUGUAGUGGGUAUUGAGUGACUAAGAUAGUACCUGUAGUGGGUAUUGAGUGAUUAAGACAGUACCUGUAGUGGGUAUUGAGUGAUUAAGACAGUACCUGUAGUGGGUGUUUGGUAUUGAGUGACUAAGAUAGUACCUGUAGUGGGUAUUGAGUGACUAAGAUAGUACCUGUAGUGGGUAUUGAGUGAUUAAGACAGUACCUGUAGUGGGUAUUGAGUGAUUAAGACAGUACCUGUAGUGGGUAUUGAGUGACUAAGACAGCACCUGUAGUGGGUAUUGAGUGAUUAAGACAGUACCUGUAGUGGGUAUUGAGUGAUUAAGACAGUACCUGUAGUGGGUGUACCUGUAGUGGGUAUUGAGUGACAAAGAUAGUACCUGUAGUGGGUAUUGAGUGACUAAGAUAGUACCUGUAGUGGGUAUUGAGUGAUUAAGACAGUACCUGUAGUGGGUAUUGAGUGAUUAAGACAGUACCUGUAGUGGGUAUUGAGUGACUAAGACAGUACCUGUAGUGGGUAUUGAGUGACUACGAUAGUACCUGUAGUGGGUAUUGAGUGAUUAAGACAGUACCUGUAGUGGGUAUUGAGUGAUUAAGACAGUACCUGUAGUGGGUAUUGAGUGACUAAGACAGUACCUGUAGUGGAUAUUGAGUGAUUAAGACAGUACCUGUAGUGGGUGUUUGGUAUUGAGUGACUAAGAUAGUACCUGUAGUGGGUAUUGAGUGACUAAGAUAGUACCUGUAGUGGGUAUUGAGUGAUUAAGACAGUACCUGUAGUGGGUAUUGAGUGAUUAAGACAGUACCUGUAGUGGGUAUUGAGUGACUAAGACAGCACCUGUAGUGGGUAUUGAGUGAUUAAGACAGUACCUGUAGUGGGUAUUGAGUGAUUAAGACACCUGUAGUGGGUGUACCUGUAGUGGGUGUUUGGUAUUGAGUGACUAAGACAGUACCUGUAGUGGGUGUUUGGUAUUGAGUGACUAAGAUAGUACCUGUAGUGGGUAUUGAGUGACUAAGAUAGUACCUGUAGUGGGUAUUGAGUGACUAAGACAGUACCUGUAGUGGAUAUUGAGUGACUAAGACAGUACCUGUAGUGGGUAUUGAGUGACUAAGACAGUACCUGUAGUGGGUAUUGAGUGACUAAGACAGUACCUGUAGUGGAUAUUGAGUGACUAAGACAGUACCUGUAGUGGGUGUUUGGUAUUGAGUGACUAAGAUAGUACCUGUAGUGGGUAUUGAGUGACUAAGAUAGUACCUGUAGUGGGUAUUGAGUGACUAAGACAGUACCUGUAGUGGGUGUUUGGUAUUGAGUGACUAAGAUAGUACCUGUAGUGGGUAUUGAGUGACUAAGAUAGUACCUGUAGUGGGUAUUGAGUGACUAAGAUAGUACCUGUAGUGGGUAUUGAGUGACUAAGACACCUGUAGUGGGUGUACCUGUAGUGGGUAUUGAGUGACUAAGAUAGUACCUGUAGUGGGUAUUGAGUGACUAAGACAGUACCUGUAGUGGGUAUUGAGUGACUAAGACAGUACCUGUAGUGGGUGUUUGGUAUUGAGU